rfam:Euroglyphus maynei isolate Arlian Lab scaffold761, whole genome shotgun sequence.
GUCGGCGUGGUGCAGUGGACAGCAUAACUGACUUCGAAUCAGGAGGUCGCAGGUUCGAGUCCUGCCGUCGACG